CCAUUUCUUCAUUUUGCUUCCAGUGGUCUUCUUCUACCAUCUUAUUCAUUUUUCUUCUUCUUAUUUUUACAGCCUUUUAUUAAGUCUGUAAAGGUAAUAUUGGUUCAAAGUUUUGUGUUUUCCAUCAAUAAACAUUGGUUUCCAUGUGCUUUAUUUGAAUUUGUAGGUUGUUCUUGGGGAUUGUUUCUACUAUUGGUGUUAUGUCCGACAUUGCACAUACCCAUAUUUCACCAUUUUUUCUUCGAUUUGAAGGAAAAUGAUUAUGGAAGGCGGAAGGAUUCUUGGCAGCUUGGCUUGUGUGUUAAGGAUGAAUGGAAUGAAUGGAGUGCGUGUCGAUCGAGGAUGACGUUAUUUAGUCUUUUGAAUAUGUUUAUUUUGUAAUCCCGCACUUAGUUUUGAACAAUUGAAUUAAAGUUUAUGUUUUCUAUUUUAUAAACAAUGUGAUCCCAUACCAUAUCUAUCACAUUUUAUAUUUUUAUAUUAUCUUGUAUUUGAUACAAUAUUUUGGGUUUUCAAUAAAGAUAUGUUAUUUCUUA